GGGAAUGUGAUUUUAAACAACAAUGGUAUUAUAUUGAUGUAAAAUUAUGGGAUAAUGAUGUCACAAAAGACAAAAUUAAAGGACAAUGAUGUUAACUAGUAAAGUUAAAUGAUGGUCUUAUUACACGUAGCAUGAUAGAGGAGAGAGAAGUACUAAUGAAGCACCAUGUUGGAUUUGUCCACGUCAGCGUUUAAUCAGGAAAUCGGUAAUUAGAGGUCAGAGGGAUUUUAAUGUGCAAAAUU
rnacentral:misc_RNA from 1 species